UACGUAGGGUCCGAGCGUUGUCCGGAGUUACUGGGCGUAAAGCGCGCGCAGGCGGCGGUGCUGGCCCGGCGUGAAAGCCCCCGGCUCAACCGGGGAGGGUCGUCGGGGACCGCACCGCUUGAGGGCGGUAGGGGCUGGUGGAAUGCCUGGUGUAGUGGUGAAAUGCGUAGAGAUCAGGAGGAACACCGAUGGCGAAGGCAGCUCGCUGGGACGGUACUGACGCUAAGGCGCGAAGGCGUGGGGAGCGAACAGG
rnacentral:rRNA from 1 species